UGGGGAAUAUUGCACAAUGGGGGAAACCCUGAUGCAGCGACGCCGCGUGGAGGAAGAAGGUCUUCGGAUUGUAAACUCCUGUUGUUGGGGAAAAUAAGGAUGGUACCCAACAAGGAAGUGACGGCUAACUACGUGCCAGCAGCCGCGGUAAAACGUAGGUCACAAGCGUUGUCCGGAAUUACUGGGUGUAAAGGGAGCGCAGGCGGGUAUGCAAGUUGGAAGUGAAAUACAUGGGCUCAACCCAUGAACUGCUCUCAAAACUGUGUAUCUUGAGUAGUGCAGAGGUAGGCGGAAUUCCCGGUGUAGCGGUGGAAUGCGUAGAUAUCGGGAGGAACACCAGUGGCGAAGGCGGCCUACUGGGCACCAACUGACGCUGAGGCUCGAAAGUGUGGGUAGCAAACAGGAUUAGAUACCCCCGU
rnacentral:rRNA from 1 species